AUGGGGGGCAACGGCUUGCCCACAGCUUAGUCCUGCUGCCUAGAAAUGAUGCCUUGUGUGUGGAGUCAUUUUCCCAGCCUGACUUCUGCUUGUGGUACUUUGGGCUUCCAGUGGCCUCUUUGCAUUAGAACCAUCUCUGUCCAGUUUAAUCUGAGCCCAAUUUGCUUAAAAGCCUGACUCUUAUUGAAGUUCACUCUGUGCGACAAAAGCUACACCCGUAAAUCUCUCUGAGAUAAGCCCUGGGAUGUCACCCUUAAGGUGGUCCAUCCAGUGACGUGAAACAGGAUCUGAGAGGCGUGCCCUCAGCAUCCUUGGCCUUUUGUCUGCUGGCACCUUUCUCUGAGGCGCUGAUUUACAUCUUUCUGAGACCUUCCUAAAGGGUUUUAUCGUGUAACCUCAGCCUCAUCGGUGAAAGUUAUUUUCUGGUGGAAUUCAUUAUUCUCUCUCCUAGAAGAGCAUUCAAUGACAAGUUUGUGAAAUUACUUUUUUCCCGAAACAACAAUUAGAGUAUGACCAAUCGUGUUCACAGUUCUUAUAUGGCAUGAGCUUGCAAAUGGGUAAGUCUUGGAUGAAUGUGUGAUGUCUUGAGAACUUGAUGAAAAUACAAAAAAUGUCCAGACCUGUGAGCUUACCAGAGCUGUGUUGGGUGCUCAGUCACUUUUUCAUGGACCCCUGUAUUCUCACUCAUGCAAAAGGCAUCUCACUUUCUCAUGUCUGCACACAGAAUUUUUUUUUUCUUUCUAGGGCCACAUCUGCAGCAUAAGGAAGUUCCUAGGCUAAGGGGUCAAAUAAGAGCUUCAGCUGCUGGCCUACACCACAGCCACGGCAAUACCGGAUGCUUAACCUACUGAGCAAGGUCAGAGAUCGAACUCGCAUCCUCAUGGACAGUAUAUAGCCUUCUUAACCCCUGAGCUACAGUGGGAACUCCCAGAAUUUCUUAUUAUCACAGCCAUUCUAGGUUCUUCCCUGUGAGCAUCUUUGCUGUAGACAUCUUAGUUAGAAACACUUUUUGGUCACAUAACUCAUUGGCCCUAAGGCAUUUUUGCCAUAGAAGAUAAAAUAAUGAAAGAUAAAAGAGGGGCACUAAAAAGGAGCUCUCGCUGUGGCCAGCAGGUUGAGGAUCCAGUGUGGUCUCUGAAGUGGCAAGGGUUUGAUCCCUGGCCUGGCGCAGUGGGUUAAGGAUUCAGUGUUUGUCACAGCUAUGGCUGGGAUUUGAUCCCUGGGCUGGGAACUUCCAUACAUCUCGAGUGUGGCCACAAAAGAAAAACAAAAAAA
rnacentral:lncRNA from 1 species